rnacentral:ncRNA from 1 species
UUACACACGGUAAUAAGAAAAGUAAAACUUACACUGCAGAUACAGAGAGUCUUGUAAGCUGAGAAGAGACAUUGAAAGAAAGUUUGAAAAUGGCCUUUGAGUGUUGAUGCCAAUAUGAGGUAUCAACGGGUUCGCCCGUUAUAGCGAUACAGUAUUAACAUUUAUUGUUUAAUGGCGUACUGGAAUCACCGACGUCACUAAAUUAUCGUUAAUACUCAUUUAUCAUUAAAAGUUAAAUGAGUUUUUUUAUUACAGAUAUAUCUGAUACUUUACGAUAAUGUGUGUCACUUUUUCAAGUACUCCUAAAACAUGAUGGCGUACUGUUUGAGGUUACUUUAGCAAUAAAGUAGCAAACAAAGGUGGUACCACGAAACAAGCUUUCGUCCUUUAC